GACGAACGCUGGCGGCGUGCCUAAUACAUGCAAGUAGAACGCAGUUGCGAACGGGUGAGUAACGCGUAGGUAACUGCCUCAUAGCGGGGGAUAACUAUUGGAAACGAUAGCUAAUACCGCAUCCUGUGAGAUGGACCUGCGUUGUAUUAGCUCGUGUGUGAGGUAAAGGGUCACCAAGGCGACGAUACAUAGCCGACCUGAGAGGGUGAGCGGCCAAGCUGGACAUGAGACACGGCCCAGUCUCCUACUGGAGGCAGACGUAGGGAAUCUUCGGUAAUGUACGGAAGUCUGACCGAGCAACGCCGCGUGAGUGAAGAAGGUUUUCGGAUCGUAAAGCUCUGUUGUUAGAGAAGCUGGAACUAACCAGAAAGGGACGGCUAACUACGUGCCAGCAGCCGCGGUAAUUC
rnacentral:rRNA from 1 species